UAGGGAAUCUUCCACAAUGGACGAAAGUCUGAUGGAGCAACGCCGCGUGAGUGAAGAAGGGUUUCGGCUCGUAAAGCUCUGUUGUUAAAGAAGAACGUGGGUAAGAGUAACUGUUUACCCAGUGACGGUAUUUAACCAGAAAGCCACGGCUAACUACGUGUCAG
rnacentral:rRNA from 1 species